CAAUAGCGUAUAUUAAAGUUGUUGCAGUUAAAAAGCUCGUAGUUGGAUUUCUGGUGGGAGCGAUCGGUCUGGCGCUUAGCGCGAGUACUUGCAUCGUCUCCGGCCAUCCUUGGGGAGAGUCUGUCUGGCAUUAGGUUGUCGGGCAGAGGAUCCUCAUCGUUUACUGUGAAAAAAUUAGAGCGUUCAAAGCAGGCUUAUGCCGUUGAAUAUGUUAGCAUGGAAUAAUAAGAUAGGACUUUGGUACUAUUUUGUUGGUUUGCGCACCAAAGUAAUGAUUAAUAGGGACAGUUGGGGGUAUUCGUAUUCCGUUGUCAGAGGUGAAAUUCUUGGAUUUACGGAAGACGAACUACUGCGAAAGCAUUUACCAAGGAUGUUUUCAUUAA
rnacentral:rRNA from 1 species